rfam:Ictidomys tridecemlineatus contig023619, whole genome shotgun sequence.
AAGGAUGUAGCCUAGUGGUAGAGCAUAUGCCUAGCAUGCACAGGGACCUGGGUUCAAUCCCCAAUAUCUCUC